GAUUGCAGGCUGCAACCCGCCCUGCAUGAAGUCGGAAUUGCUAGUAAUCGCGGAUCAGCAUGCCGCGGUGAAUACGUUCCCGGGCCUUGUACACACCGCCCGUCACACCAUGGGAGCCGGUAAUACCCGAAGUCAGUAGUCCAACCUCGUGAGGACGCUGCCGAAGGUAGGAUUGGCGACUGGGGUGAAGUCGUAACAAGGUACC
rnacentral:rRNA from 1 species